rnacentral:rRNA from 1 species
GUGACAGCCCCGUACACAAAAAUGCACAUAUUGUGAGCUCGAUGAGUAGGGCGGGACACGUGGUAUCCUGUCUGAAUAUGGGGGGACCAUCCUCCAAGGCUAAAUACUCCUGACUGACCGAUAGUGAACCAGUACCGUGAGGGAAAGGCGAAAAGAACCCCGGCGAGGGGAGUGAAAAAGAACCUGAAACCGUGUACGUACAAGCAGUGGGAGCACGCUUAGGCGUGUGACUGCGUACCUUUUGUAUAAUGGGUCAGCGACUUAUAUUCUGUAGCAAGGUUAACCGAAUAGGGGAGCCGAAGGGAAACCGAGUCUUAACUGGGCGUUAAGUUGCAGGGUAUAGACCCGAAACCCGGUGAUCUAGCCAUGGGCAGGUUGAAGGUUGGGUAACACUAACUGGAGGACCGAACCGACUAAUGUUGAAAAAUUAGCGGAUGACUUGUGGCUGGGGGUGAAAGGCCAAUCAAACCGGGAGAUAGCUGGUUCUCCCCGAAAGCUAUUUAGGUAGCGCCUCGUGAAUUCAUCUCCGGGGGUAGAGCACUGUUUCGGCAAGGGGGUCAUCCCGACUUACCAACCCGAUGCAAACUGCGAAUACCGGAGAAUGUUAUCACGGGAGACACACGGCGGGUGCUAACGUCCGUCGUGAAGAGGGAAACAACCCAGACCGCCAGCUAAGGUCCCAAAGUCAUGGUUAAGUGGGAAACGAUGUGGGAAGGCCCAGACAGCCAGGAUGUUGGCUUAGAAGCAGCCAUCAUUUAAAGAAAGCGUAAUAGCUCACUGGUCGAGUCGGCCUGCGCGGAAGAUGUAACGGGGCUAAACCAUGCACCGAAGCUGCGGCAGCGACGCUUAUGCGUUGUUGGGUAGGGGAGCGUUCUGUAAGCCUGUGAAGGUGUGCUGUGAGGCAUGCUGGAGGUAUCAGAAGUGCGAAUGCUGACAUAAGUAACGAUAAAGCGGGUGAAAAGCCCGCUCGCCGGAAGACCAAGGGUUCCUGUCCAACGUUAAUCGGGGCAGGGUGAGUCGACCCCUAAGGCGAGGCCGAAAGGCGUAGUCGAUGGGAAACAGGUUAAUAUUCCUGUACUUGGUGUUACUGCGAAGGGGGGACGGAGAAGGCUAUGUUGGCCGGGCGACGGUUGUCCCGGUUUAAGCGUGUAGGCUGGUUUUCCAGGCAAAUCCGGAAAAUCAAGGCUGAGGCGUGAUGACGAGGCACUACGGUGCUGAAGCAACAAAUGCCCUGCUUCCAGGAAAAGCCUCUAAGCAUCAGGUAACAUCAAAUCGUACCCCAAACCGACACAGGUGGUCAGGUAGAGAAUACCAAGGCGCUUGAGAGAACUCGGGUGAAGGAACUAGGCAAAAUGGUGCCGUAACUUCGGGAGAAGGCACGCUGAUAUGUAGGUGAAGUCCCUUGCGGAUGGAGCUGAAAUCAGUCGAAGAUACCAGCUGGCUGCAACUGUUUAUUAAAAACACAGCACUGUGCAAACACGAAAGUGGACGUAUACGGUGUGACGCCUGCCCGGUGCCGGAAGGUUAAUUGAUGGGGUCAGCGCAAGCGAAGCUCUUGAUCGAAGCCCCGGUAAACGGCGGCCGUAACUAUAACGGUCCUAAGGUAGCGAAAUUCCUUGUCGGGUAAGUUCCGACCUGCACGAAUGGCGUAAUGAUGGCCAGGCUGUCUCCACCCGAGACUCAGUGAAAUUGAACUCGCUGUGAAGAUGCAGUGUACCCGCGGCAAGACGGAAAGACCCCGUGAACCUUUACUAUAGCUUGACACUGAACAUUGAGCCUUGAUGUGUAGGAUAGGUGGGAGGCUUUGAAGUGUGGACGCCAGUCUGCAUGGAGCCGACCUUGAAAUACCACCCUUUAAUGUUUGAUGUUCUAACGUGGACCCGUGAUCCGGGUUGCGGACAGUGUCUGGUGGGUAGUUUGACUGGGGCGGUCUCCUCCUAAAGAGUAACGGAGGAGCACGAAGGUUGGCUAAUCCUGGUCGGACAUCAGGAGGUUAGUGCAAUGGCAUAAGCCAGCUUGACUGCGAGCGUGACGGCGCGAGCAGGUGCGAAAGCAGGUCAUAGUGAUCCGGUGGUUCUGAAUGGAAGGGCCAUCGCUCAACGGAUAAAAGGUACUCCGGGGAUAACAGGCUGAUACCGCCCAAGAGUUCAUAUCGACGGCGGUGUUUGGCACCUCGAUGUCGGCUCAUCACAUCCUGGGGCUGAAGUAGGUCCCAAGGGUAUGGCUGUUCGCCAUUUAAAGUGGUACGCGAGCUGGGUUUAGAACGUCGUGAGACAGUUCGGUCCCUAUCUGCCGUGGGCGCUGGAGAACUGAGGGGGGCUGCUCCUAGUACGAGAGGACCGGAGUGGACGCAUCACUGGUGUUCGGGUUGUCAUGCCAAUGGCACUGCCCGGUAGCUAAAUGCGGAAGAGAUAAGUGCUGAAAGC